ensembl:lncRNA
AAGGUCUUGAAGUUCUCUGACUGGCCUCGACUGAAGAUGGUCGUCUCACUGGAUUUAAGGUUCAGAAAUCAAAUAUUCUAUAAAAUGUAAAUACACUGAACUCAUUUGGAUAUAUUUAAGUGAGACUCUACAAUAUUAUUUGACACAAAUCUAUGUAAAUGAAAAUUUUAAUAAUUUUCACGCCAAACAUUUACUGGACUGAUUUAAGUAUUAAAAUCACUCCUUUCUAAUCCUCUGCUGUACGUUCAAACCUGAGGCCUUAAAUAGAAACACACAAGUAUCUGAUUGAAGGAACUUCUGCAGAGUCCUGGUUCCAGAAUAUGAUGAUAGAAUUAUAGACAAACUUUAACAAAAGCUGCCUGAGAGUUUACAGGUUUUUAUGUUGGAUUUCUAUAGUAAUUUAAUGAGAGUUAUCAGCAAAAAUCAAGUGUUCAUUUGAUGAACUUCAUUUCCUAAAACAUACAGAAUUGGAGCUCAUAUCUUUGGCAGCUGUAAAGUUUCUGCUCCUUCAAAGUUCACAACACAAUGAAUGAAUUCCUAAAACACUCUCAAUGCUGGAGAGCGUUUGUGAUGCUGAAGCAGUGACCAGUUUUUCUGUUUCUUCUCUGGAGAUGCACAAUGAGGGACGUCUACAGAGACUGAGAAAGAGUCUCACCACAUCCUGACAUGAGGAAAAAGACUUUAUUGAAGACUACAAUGAGAAAAACUAUCAGACAGCAGACGGCUGCAUUCAAGGCUACAGGAGGAGCCCUACGAGGACGAGCCGGUCCACCUGAUGGCGGCCAGUCGCUGCGGUUCAAAGCCAACACCGACUACAUGGACUUCUACUGGACCACACGGAGGCCUUCAAACCGGACCAACAAGUUCAGCGACUCCCCGACUCGUGGGUCUGAGGACGCCGCCGAGCCUCGGUCCAGCCGGCCUCCUGUCUGUGGGUGUUUGAGUGCUGAGAGGUUUGUGGAUGCAUGUGAACAUGUCUGUGUUGAAACAGCAACUUUUCACUCAGUAACGCCGGGAAAAACCAAGAGCUCCUUUAUUUGUGACUUCCACUAAAAAAACUGAAGAAAAUAAGUUUGCCAGGGUUCUGACUGAUAACAGAUUAUUAAAUAAUGAAAAUAAUCAUUUAAAUAUUCCUUUAAACAAUCCUUUUAGGUCUACAUUUCCUUUAUACUGACUUCUUGGUAUAUGUACAAGUAUUUUGGGUGGAAUAUACCAUUAAGCCUGAUGUUCAAGGGUUCUUCUGGG